UCUUGGAUGUAGUAAGUCAGAUGUUUUUAGUUGUUUCCAUGUCAGAUGUCAGUUUUUCCUUGUGACUCCUUGUUUUCACCUUUUUGGGGGACAUUUUCAUUGGACAGAUGACCACUCGCGACAGCUGAUCCGGUGGAGAGCCCGUAACGGCAAUAUGUUCACCGGACAGCGGAACGCCCCGUCCUCGCCCUGAAGAAGAGGUGGGAGAAUAUGAAGCAGAAGUACAAAGUGCUGAGGACCCUGAAAACAGGGGUCAGUACAGAGGGAGGGGAGAUGACAGCUGCUUCCUGAAAGUGGUACAGUUUAAUGGAUGAGGCGCUUGGGGCCACAUCAUCACACCGCUGGCCCUGACGUCUUCAUCAUCCCAGGGAGCAGCUGUCAUGUCCUCUCCCUCUGAAGAGUGAGCUGCUGCCUUAGCCUCCACCUCAGCCUCCACCUCAGCCUCCACCUCUGCCUCCACCUCAGCCUCCACCCCAGCCUCCAACUUUGCCUCCACCUCCUCUCCUGCCACUGGCUCUCCUCCCAGACCCAGCACCUCCUCUCUUUCCUCCUUCUCCCACUCCUCCACCUCCUCUCCACCUGCCAAAAGACGCAGGAGACCACCACCGUGGAUGAGACUGUUUGAGCAGCUGGAGAGGAGGGACGAGGAAAGUAGGGAUAGGGAUGAGCGCUUUGCGUGAGGAGCGGCUGCCCGUGAGGAGCGGCUGCCCGUGAGGAGCGGCUGCCCGUGAGGAGCGCUUUUUAAAUAUUUUGUCGAGAUUUCUGAAAUAAUGUUUAUGUUAGCAAGUUUGUUUGUUUGUUAUUUUUGCAUUUAAAGCCAUUUUGUUUAAAUUAUUCAUCCAGUGAUACUGCAGAAUUUAUUUUGUCAUUUCUUAAAUAAAUAAUUUAUUUUGUGCACAUUG